GAUGAAGAACGAAGCGAAAUGCGAUAAGUAAUGCGAAUUGCAGAAUUCCAGUGAGUCAUCGAAUCUUUGAACGCACAUUGCGCCCUUUGGUAUUCCGAAGGGCAUGCCUGUUCGAGCGUCAUUAUCACCCCUCAAGCCCUCGGCUUGGUGUUGGACGGUUUGGUGGAGGCCCCCUCGGGGGUUCCUGCCCCUCCCAAAGACAAUGACGGCGGCCUCGUUGGACCCCCGGUACACUGAGUUCUUCACGGGACACGUAUCGGACACAUGGGUUUACGGGACACGGUCUGCCUCCCCUCAGGGAGAAUCUUUCUAAGGUUGACCUCGGAUCAGGUAGGGAUACCCGCUGAACUUAAGCAUAUCAAUAAGCGGAGGA
rnacentral:misc_RNA from 1 species